rnacentral:tRNA from 1 species
AAGAAAGUGGCAGAGUGGUUACGCGGUUGGCUUGAAACCAGCUUAUGGGGGUUCAACUCCCUCCUUUCUCG